AAGUCCCAGGUGCUGGCGAGAGUGCAGCAGUCGCCCCGCGUGCCACUGGGGCAGCCCCUGCACGCCCAGGGAUGCUGGGGCCAGGCUCUGGUAGCAGCAGCAGCAUCCCCCUGAUGAACUCCAUCUGUAUUCCACAGGAACACUUUCAUACAGCCCCCCGGAAUGGACCCACUUGGGCUGGUACCAUGGCGAGGCAGCAACGAUCUGGUCCCUGGGCAUCCUGCUGCACCAGAUGGUCUGCGGGCAGCACCCUUUCAGGAGGGGCCGGAAGAUCAGCUGGGACCAUCAGCUCUCGCUGCCACAGCGGCUCUCUCCAGAGUGCCAAGAUCUUAUCAGGGGGUGUUUAUCCAUGCACUUCUUGGACAGACCUUCCUUAGAAGACCUGUUCUGUGAACCUUGGAUACAGGAUAUUCACCUGCCAUAGAAGAAGGGAGAGAGCCACAUGCACACUUUGCUGCAGGGCCCUGCUGGGGCCCUGGGCAGAACCCUGACAGCCUGGUCUGAUCCCCAGGGAAGGAGAAGGAGCCCCUGGAGAAGCUGUACCAGGUGGGGCUGCUGCUGCUGCUGGAGACAGUGAGGAUGACAUCAAGGAUGACAAACUCUUCCUCAAGUUGGCCACUGGCAGCUGAAGAUGAUGGACUUCUGGCACUGUCUUCAAAGCCAGGCUCCACAGCGAAUUUGCAGAUGAGUCCACAGCCGGGGAAAUGCUCCCAGAUUUGGGCAUUGCUCAGACUGGCUGGGAACAAAAGGUUCCCCCUGUGCUGGGGCAGAUGCAACUUCAGUCGGCUGCCCAGCUGCUUUUUGGCAGGGCUGGGGGCACAGAUUGGGGUGGAUACAAGAUGGGAGUGGGCUCCUGGCCCUGCCAACAGCCCCCAGCACCCAGCAUGGCCUGGGCUGAGGCUGGGGCUGGGGCUGGGGCAGCCAGCCUGACACAAACAAACCUCCAUGGUGGGAGCAGAGGUGGGAUUCCAGAACCUGUGCAGGGGCUGCUUUGCUUUGCAGGCAAGGAAGGGCUUGGGCUGCUCCAGUGCUCUUGUUUGCUUUGGGAUCACUGUUAUUUUGGGAGGCAGUGUAGGAGGGAAGAGAGAAAGUGUGGGCUUCUCUCCCCUUUGGGUGGGAUUUUCCCUAGCAUGUAGGGGUUGGGCCUUCCUCAGAGCCUUGACAGAGAUAAAGAGUUUUUUUCUUGUUUCCCCUUGUCUCUAAUCUCUUUUCAACAGUUUGUUGUUUGUUUUUCUAGAGGAAGCGUUCUAUGUAAGGUCCAGUUGGGAUUGGGAAGUGCAUGGAAGAAGCUGCAGCGUGGAUGGGCCGUGCCCUUGGAGAAGGCUGAGGGCAUCGUUUGGGACCAGCUUUUCUCCCAGCGGAGGAUGGCGUGAGCCGGGCUCUGCGGGUGCUGAGGCUGCUCUGGGCCCUGCCAGGGCUCUGCUGGAGCUCAGCACCGGGCCACAAUCAGCAAAAGGAGAAAUGGGGUGCCCUGCAGCACAGACUUGCUUGAGCAUUUCAGCAACACAGUUCAAGUUUGCAGAGUGUACACCUCCAAGGGAAAACAUGGCACCACCCAAGAAAUAAACUUGUUCAAUAA